CAGUCGCCGCGGUAAGACAGAGGUUGCAAGCGUUAUCCGGAAUGAUUGGGCGUAAAGCGUCUGUAGGUGGUUUGUUAAGUUGGAUGUGAAAGCCCCGGGCUCAACCUGGGAACUGCAUCCAAAACUGGCAAGCUAGAGUACGGUAGAGGGUGGUGGAAUUUCCUGUGUAGCGGUGAAAUGCGCAGAUAUAGGAAGGAACACCAGUGGCGAAGGCGACCACCUGGACUGAUACUGACACUGAGGUGCGAAAGCGUGGGGAGCAAACAGGAUUAGAUACCCGGGUAGUCCCUGUCUCUUAUAA
rnacentral:rRNA from 1 species